AAGAGAACUGGCAGACCGCUCAGGAAUAAGCCAGUCGUGUUUGAGCCGUGCAAUGCCACCUGUAUGGGACGGCAUCAUCCGCUUGUCUACCAGGUAUAUAACGUUCCCAUACGAUGCAGGUGACCAGCCAAACAUCAAAGCGCAAUUUGCAGCGAUAGCCGGUUUUCCUAAUGUAAUCGGAGCGAUCGACUGCACACAUAUUGCUAUAAAGGCGCCAUCUGAAGACGAAUUUGCAUAUGUGAAUCGGAAACAUUUCCAUUCAAUAAAUGUGCAGAUUAUAUGUGAUGCACAAAUGCGCCUAACAAAUAUUGUGGCAAGGUGGCCUGGGUCAACCCAUGAUUCAUAUAUCCUUACAAACAGCAUGGUUGGGAUGAGACUCCAAGCUGGCAGGGUGCGCGAUGGGUGGCUACUUGGAGACAGUGGUUAUCCACUAAAGACGUGGCUGUUAACCCCCCUCACCAACCCACAAACUGACCGAGAGCGCAGA